CUUCUGCAAAGCACCUCGCAAAUCUUUUGCCUCCCUGCUUACAGUUAUGAAUAGUAAGGUGAGCCACUGAGGGUAUAGCCGACCUGCAUUUUAAACAUAGGAACAAAAGUCACUGGAGAUCAGCUUCAAGUACAGCUGUGUUAACGAGAAUGAACUAGGUAUGCGGGCUGGAUUCUGGUGUUUGAUGUCUUUUUCACUUCCCUAGAAUGUUUUGUGACCUCUAAUUAUUUGAGAAGCAUUUGUACUGAAGAGCCUGUCAUUUUACUGAUCACAUUUUUUGGUUCUUAUUUUUAUUGUUUCUUCAUGUAGGGGUCUUGUUCCUCGCCUUCUAGGUGACAUCCUUUCUUUGUGGCUGUGUAACUCACUGGCCUACCUCGUCAAUACCUAUGCACUGGACAGUGGGGUUUCUACCAUGAAUGAAAUGAAGAGUUAUUCUCAAGCUGUCACAGGAUUUUUUGCGAGUAUGUUGACCUAUCCCUUUGUGCUUGUCUCCAAUCUUAUGGCUGUCAACAACUGUGGUCUUGCUGGUGGAUGCCCUCCUUACUCCCCAAUAUAUACGUCUUGGAUAGAUUGUUGGUGCAUGCUACAAAAAGAGGGGAAUAUGAGCCGAGGAAAUAGCUUGUUUUUCCGGAAGGUCCCCUUUGGGAAGACUUAUUGUUGUGACCUGAAAAUGUUAAUUUGAAGAUGUGGGGCAGGGACAAUGACAUUUCUGUAGUCCCAGAUGCACAGAAUUAUGGGAGAGAAUGUUGAUUUCUAUACAGUGUGGCGCGCUUUUUUAAUAAUCAUUUAAUCUUGGGAAAACUGAGGUGUU
rnacentral:sRNA from 1 species